UAUCAUUCACUAUCUCAAGGAACUUUAAAGACACAGUUUUGUUAAGGGUAAAGAUUAAGAGUUUUGUUGGGAUUGGUCUUGAUUUAAAUUUCUCAAGGGAAAUGGUCUUUGCCAGGACCCUCUGAACUACACCCUAACAUAAGACAGAAACUAUACACAGGGUAUGACAGUAUAAACACAUUUAUUCACUCAUAAACACAUGAGCAUUCACAAAGCCCCUGGUGACAUAAUGGUGACACAACCUCAAAUAUACAACUAACUGGGGACACAGACAAGUAGAAAGGCAACUGCGAGACACUGUGCAUUGAAAGGGAAGUGCAGAGGAGGGGCACUAAACUGGAUAUGGGAUUCAGGAAAGGCUUCCUGGAAAACAUGGAGUGUUGGCUGAGAUCUGAAGGAAAAUAAAGGUCUCCUGCCAAGGUCUUCCAUUGGGUGAACCCAAAGUGAAGCCAUAAGGAUCUAAACCCCUUUGAGCACUCAGAUACCAGGCCAACGAAAGCUAGAGAAUUGAUGCUGAUCCUUGCUGGCUAUAGGCCUUCAUGACUUCAACCUGGAUUCUGCCAACUUAAGAUGACUUUUGCCCCAAUGUCAUGCUGCAUUCCCCAUUAUACAAGCCCUUUAUUUUGC